rnacentral:rRNA from 1 species
AUCACUGGCUCAGGAUGAACGCUAGCGGCAGGCUUAACACAUGCAAGUCGAGGGGCAGCGCGGGAUAGCAAUAUCCUGGCGGCGACCGGCGGAAGGGUGCGUAACGCGUGAGCGACAUGCCCGUUGCCCGGGGACAACCGGUGGAAACGCCGACUAAUCCCCGAUGGGAUAUUGUGCCGCAUGGCACGAUAUUGAAAGUUACGGCGGCGACGGAUUGGCUCGCGUCCGAUUAGCUUGUUGGCGGGG